rnacentral:rRNA from 1 species
CGUAGAGUUUGUAUCCUGGCUCAGACUUGAACGCUGGCGGCAUGCCUUACGCAUGCAAGUCGAACGGUAACAGGUCUUCGGAUGCUGACGAGUGGCGAACGGGUGAGUAAUACAUCGGAACGUGCCCGAGUCGUGGGGGAUAACGAGGCGAAAGCUUUGCUAAUACCGCAUACGAUCUACGGAUGAAAGCGGGGGAUCUUCGGACCUCGCGCGGACGGAGCGGCCGAUGGCAGAUUAGGUAGUUGGUGGGAUAAAAGCUUACCAAGCCGACGAUCUAUAGCUGGUCUGAGAGGAUGAUCAGCCACACUGGGACUGAGACACGGCCCAGACUCCUACGGGAGGCAGCAGUGGGGAAUUUUGGACAAUGGGCGAAAGCCUGAUCCAGCCAUGCCGCGUGCAGGAUGAAGGCCUUCGGGUUGUAAACUGCUUUUUGUACGGAACGAAAAGCCUCUUUCUAAUAAAGAGGGGUCAUGACGGUACCGUAAGAAUAAGCACCGGCUAACUACGUG